GACGAACGCUGGCGGCGUGCUUAACACAUGCAAGUCGAACGAUUAAAGCCCUUUCGGGGGUGUAUAGAGUGGCGUACGGGUGAGUAACACGUGGGUAAUCUACCUUUGGGUGGGGAAUAACUCAGGGAAACUUGAGCGUAAAUACCGCAUAAUGCAGCGGCUCGACAUCGAGACAGUUGGUUAAAGAUUUAUCGCCUGAAGAGGAGCCUGCGCCUGAUUAGCUAGUUGGUGGGGUAAUGGCUACCAAGGCUACGAUCAGUAGCUGGUCUGAGAGGACGGCCAGCCACAAUGGCACUGAAACACGGGCCAUACUCCUACGGAGGCAGC
rnacentral:rRNA from 1 species